ensembl:rRNA 5S_rRNA 5S ribosomal RNA
GCUUACGGCCACACCGCCUGGUUCACGCCUGAUCUCGCAAGCUAAGAUAGGUUGGGCCUGGUUAGUACUUGGAUGGGAGACCGCCUGGGAAUACCAGGUGCUGCAAGCU